rnacentral:lncRNA from 1 species
GAUCCAAUCAAAAUUCACACUGUCUGAAGAACUUCAACCAUCAGAUGAUGAACACAAAUUCCUUAUGAAGGUCAAAAGGAGAUGCAUUCUUAAUUUCAGCAAAACCUUACCUUGAAAAACAAAGGUAGAAGCUGAAGUUGUUCUGUAACUGCUGUAGAAAAGGAUCUUCCUGCACUUGCCAUCAGCCAUUUCAAUACUAUUUUGAAAACAAAGAUGCAGAGAAUGGAUUAUCUUCAAUCAAAGUACACGAGCUAUGGACAUAUCUGGGGGAGAUUUCAAAUCAAUACACUUCAAGAUAUUUAUUAACCAAGUGUGUAUUGCUUGUGAAGAAUUUAAAGACUUCAGGUCACGUACAUAUUCUCAAACCCAAGACUGUAGCUAAAACAAGGAACAGGAAUAAGCAUCGAAGAAGCAAAACAGAAGCCACAGAGGAGAAAAGAGAAUCGAGCUGAACAGACCAAAAGAAAAACCUAGCUGUGGCUGAGACUCCCACUAACCACUUAC